rnacentral:rRNA from 1 species
AAAUUGAAGAGUUUGAUCAUGGCUCAGAUUGAACGCUGGCGGCAGGCCUAACACAUGCAAGUCGAACGGUAACAGGAAACAGCUUGCUGUUUCGCUGACGAGUGGCGGACGGGUGAGUAAUGUCUGGGAAACUGCCUGAUGGAGGGGGAUAACUACUGGAAACGGUAGCUAAUACCGCAUAACGUCGCAAGACCAAAGAGGGGGACCUUCGGGCCUCUUGCCAUCGGAUGUGCCCAGAUGGGAUUAGCUUGUUGGUGGGGUAACGGCUCACCAAGGCGACGAUCCCUAGCUGGUCUGAGAGGAUGACCAGCCACACUGGAACUGAGACACGGUCCAGACUCCUACGGGAGGCAGCAGUGGGGAAUAUUGCACAAUGGGCGCAAGCCUGAUGCAGCCAUGCCGCGUGUAUGAAGAAGGCCUUCGGGUUGUAAAGUACUUUCAGCGGGGAGGAAGGGAGUAAAGUUAAUACCUUUGCUCAUUGACGUUACCCGCAGAAGAAGCACCGGCUAACUCCGUGCCAGCAGCCGCGGUAAUACGGAGGGUGCAAGCGUUAAUCGGAAUUACUGGGCGUAAAGCGCACGCAGGCGGUUUGUUAAGUCAGAUGUGAAAUCCCCGGGCUCAACCUGGGAACUGCAUCUG